rnacentral:rRNA from 1 species
UAGUAACGGCGAGUGAAGCGGGAUGAGCUCAAGCUUAAAAUCUCCAUACAAAUUUUGUAUGGCGAAUUGUAGUCUAUAGAGGCGUGAUCAGUGUGGCAACUUGGGAUAAGUUCCUUGGAAGAGGACAGCAUCGAGGGUGAUACUCCCGUUCAUUCUUGAGUUGCUUAUGCGUACGAUCCGUUUUCUUUGAGUCGCGUUGUUUGAGAAUGCAGCGCAAAGUAGGUGGUAAAUUCCAUCUAAAGCUAAAUAUUGGUGCGAGACCGAUAGCAUACAAGUACCGUGAGGGAAAGAUGAAAAGAACUUUGAAAAGAGAGUUAAAGAGUACCUGAAACUGCUGAAAGGUAACCGAAUCGUUUCCAGUGUCUAUAAUCUGCGAUAUAUUUCAUCGGCGAAUGUGUGCGUGCGUGUACUAUGGCAGCGGCUUUUUGGCUGCGCUUGGUAUGUGUGCUGUGCUUCCUUGCUGGUGCCCUGUAUUGUGGUGGGACGCCAAUGUCAGUUCGUAAACCGCGGGAAAUGACUACCGAGGAGGUAAGGCUUACGCUUGCGUUUGUCUGUUAUAUCUUGGUGGACGAGUAGUUGUGGUUGGGACUGAGGUGCCUACAACGUGCUUUUGAGUGGGACUGCGUCUCCGUGUGCGCCGUGUGCGGAUAGCUUGCUAUAUGCGUGUGGUUGUGUAUGGAUUGAUGCGGACUUUAACUUGUUGCCGUUC